AUUUUGCUCAAGAUGAGAGGAGUUACACUACUGUGUUUGGUGGGAUUCAUUCUGGCGGCCUCGUGGCCUGAAGGAGGCACCAUGCCGCUUUCACCUCAGAACAAGCCACCACCGCCCAAUGUGUGGCACCCUCUUGGAAAUGACGUUGGUUUUCCAGCUUUGUCAAGUGAGAGAGAUGGGGUCCAGGUGAAGAAAACAUGAAAAAAGACAAGACAGCAGACUGGCUCAACAGAUGCAGACAUGUUUGAAAUUUUAACAGAGACAGAAAUGACCAUUUAAUUAUUCUGCUAGUGUCAUUGCCUCCUUCAAAUAAACAUUAAGUCUGUUGUGUGA